AUGAAUGAAGAAGGAGAUCAAAGCCCAAAUGGAGCAGGGAGGCCUUUGCCAGGGGCCCGGCCGUUGGGGGAAGAGACGCUGCAAGCCAUAGCUUCCUCUACGGGGUACCCCAGGCCGAACGGCGUGACCCAGAGGAUUCCCAGAGGAGGAAGAGGCGUCUCUGCGGCUGCAGAAACCAGUUGGGGAUCUGGAGGAAGAAUGCCGGAGACCGUGGCCCUGCGGUUAUCCAUCCUGGAAACUAAUUUAUCCAGGCUGUCGGAAACCGUGGGGAGGUUGGUGCCACUAUUGGAAGAUAAUCUCCAAAAGGAGCCCAUCCGAUAUGGCGCCGAGAGAGAGCCAAGUAAAGAAGGAGAUUGGAGCCAGAGGGGCCAGCGCGCCUCAACGCAGAGCCCCGUGGCGGCGAGGAGCGAGGGGGAUGAGGAAUACUGGCAGGAACUGGAGUUCCGAGACAGAAUGGCGCGCGAAGUGGAGCGCCAGCAAGCUCUGGGAACUCUGAGGCCGCCAACUCCAACAGAACUUCCAACCCCCCGAAUGGGCGUCGGGGUGGAAAGACCACUGAGGCCAGGGAUCGGGUCCAGUGGAUUAGCAGACGAAGGCGGAGAGGAGCCGGAGAUCCAGGAAGAGGAGGAGGAUGUGCCGUACGACGAGGGAAGGCGAGGUGCGGGGGCUACAGCGAGGCCCGCAUCCGGAUGGGUGGAAGGGCCGACAGCAGCGGCAGAAUUUCGGGAGCCGCGCAGAACGACCGCCGGAGUGGGGCGCGGCGUGUUCAAAGGGGCCGUCCAAGGAAACCCGAUGCAACCCUUCCCCAUGCCUCCCAGACAGCAUCAACGGGCCGCAGAAUGGAUGCAAAGGAGGGAAGAUCUCAAACUGGAAUACGGAGGGGAAUCAUCGGAACUGAAAUUUUUCCUCAUUAGCAUCCGAGGAUAUAUGGAAGACAAUGCACACACAUUCCCCUCCGAAGCAAGCAUGGUUCGGGCCAUCGGCAACACACUAAAGAGAGGAGCGGCCAGCUGGUAUGUGCAACUACAUGCCAGACGCGACCCAUGCCUGAGGUCAGUGCCCCGCUUCCUCGCCGCACUGGAAAACCGGUUCAGAGACCGGCUAGAGCAAUUGAGGGCUCGAGACCAGCUUAAAGGAAUAAAGCAGAGGGACAAAACAGUGCCCGAGUACGCAGAGGAAUUCCUCCAUCUCGCGGAAAGGGUACCAGAGUGGUCUGAAGUGACCAAAGUGGAGAUAUUCAAAGAGGGACUACGCCCCGAGGUUUUUAGUUGGGCAGCGCACAGAGACGACCCAGAAACACUCCAGGGCUGGAUACAACUAGCGGGGCGCGUCGAAUCCACCCUGGCCCAAGUAAAGCGUUUCAGGGGCGGCGGCGGCCAGCAAAGACCGGUGGCGAGAGGUCGAGGAGAAACGAGGAAGCAGGAAAGGCCCGGAGGGAGGCCGGGGAUCCCCUUCAAAGGAGAUGACAACAAACCCAAGCCGGGAUGCUUUGUAUGUGGGAAGACGGGCCAUCGAGCAGCAGAAUGUUGGGCCCGGAAGGGGGAGCCGCCAAAACCCUCAUAUGCCAAGCCAGCAACCGGGAGGCGAGCGGAGGAGGAGGUGCGAGCCCCAGAAUCUCCGGAAAGGCUGGAUUGUGAUGAAAGAAGAACCGAAGAGGAGGACGAAGAAAAAGAGGGCGCCAUGUCAUGGAACCAAGUCCCAGGGCUGAAUUUCCAAGCCCUGGACUUGGAGUCAUAA
ensembl:lncRNA